CCUACGGGUGGCAGCAGUGAGGAAUAUUGGGCAAUGGACGAGAGUCUGAACCAGCCCAGUAGCGUGAAGGAUGACGGCCCUAUGGGUUGUAAAAUUCUUUUAUAUGGGAAUAAAAUGUUCCAAGGGUGGGAUUUUGUAUGUACCAUAUGAAUACGGAUAGGCUAACUCCGUGCCGGCCGCCGCGGUAAUACGGAGGGUCCGAGCGUUAACCGGAUUUAGUGGGUUGAAGGGGAGUGGAGGUGUAUUGUUAAGUCAGUUGUUAAAGUUUGCGGAUCAACCGUAAAAUUGCAGUUGACACUGGCAGUCUUGAGUACAGUAUAGGUGAGCGGAAUUCGAUGUGUAGCGGUGAAAUGCUUAGAU
rnacentral:rRNA from 1 species